rnacentral:rRNA from 1 species
GGUGAGUAACACGUGGGCAAUCUGCCCUUCACUCUGGGACAAGCCCUGGAAACGGGGUCUAAUACCGGAUAUCACUCUCGCGGGCAUCUGUGAGAGUUGAAAGCUCCGGCGGUGAAGGAUGAGCCCGCGGCCUAUCAGCUUGUUGGUGAGGUAACGGCUCACCAAGGCGACGACGGGUAGCCGGCCUGAGAGGGCGACCGGCCACACUGGGACUGAGACACGGCCCAGACUCCUACGGGAGGCAGCAGUGGGGAAUAUUGCACAAUGGGCGAAAGCCUGAUGCAGCGACGCCGCGUGAGGGAUGACGGCCUUCGGGUUGUAAACCUCUUUCAGCAGGGAAGAAGCGAAAGUGACGGUACCUGCAGAAGAAGCGCCGGCUAACUACGUGCCAGCAGCCGCGGUAAUACGUAGGGCGCAAGCGUUGUCCGGAAUUAUUGGGCGUAAAGAGCUCGUAGGCGGCUUGUCACGUCGGGUGUGAAAGCCCGGGGCUUAACCCCGGGUCUGCAUUCGAUACGGGCUAGCUAGAGUGUGGUAGGGGAGAUCGGAAUUCCUGGUGUAGCGGUGAAAUGCGCAGAUAUCAGGAGGAACACCGGUGGCGAAAGCGGAUCUCUGGGCCAUUACUGACGCUGAAGAGCGAAAGCGUGGGGAGCGAACAGGAUUAGAUACCCUGGUAGUCCA